rnacentral:rRNA from 1 species
GGACCCGCACAAGUAGUGGAGCAUGUGGUUUAAUUCGAAGAUACGCGCAGAACCUUACCAACACUUGACAUGUUCGUCGCGACUUUAAGAGAUUAAAGUUUUCGGUUCGGCCGGACGAAACACAGGUGCUGCAUGGCUGUCGUCAGCUCGUGUCGUGAGAUGUUGGGUUAAGUCCCGCAACGAGCGCAACCCUCACUUUUAGUUGCCAUCAUUUAGUUGGGCACUCUGAAAGAACUGCCAGUGAUAAGCUGGAGGAAGGUGGGGAUGACGUCAAGUCCUCAUGGCCCUUACGUGUUGGGCUACACACGUGCUACAAUGCUACGGACAAAGGGCAGCAAGUUCGCGAGGAC